rnacentral:rRNA from 1 species
GAUGAACGCUAGCUACAGGCUUAACACAUGCAAGUCGAGGGGUAACGAGAGGGAAGCUUGCUUUCCUUGUCGACGACCGGCGCACGGGUGAGUAACGCGUAUCCAACCUGCCCCCAACUAGGGAAUAACCUUGCGAAAGUAAGACUAAUACCCUAUAAUUUCCUCAGAUGUCAUCUGACGAGGAAUAAAGAUUUAUCGGUUGUGGAUGGGGAUGCGUCUGAUUAGCUUGUUGGCGGGGUAAAGGCCCACCAAGGCAACGAUCAGUAGGGGUUCUGAGAGGAAGGUCCCCCAAAUUGGAACUGAGACACGGUCCAAACUCCUACGGGAGGCAGCAGUGAGGAAUAUUGGUCAAUGGGCGGAAGCCUGAACCAGCCAAGUAGCGUGCAGGAUGACGGCCCUGUGGGUUGUAAACUGCUUUUAUACAGGAAUAAAGUUAGCCACGUGUGGUUAUUUGUAGGUACUGUAUGAAUAAGGACCGGCUAAUUCCGUGCCAGCCGCCGCGGUAA